ACUCCUACGGGAGGCAGCAGUGGGGAAUAUUGGACAAUGGGGGCAACCCUGAUCCAGCCAUGCCGCGUGAGUGAUGAAGGCCCUAGGGUUGUAAAGCUCUUUCGGCGGGGACGAUAAUGACGGUACCCGCAGAAGAAGCCCCGGCUAACUUCGUGCCAGCAGCCGCGGUAAU
rnacentral:rRNA from 1 species